GCGAGUCGAGCGGCAGCACGGGUACUUGUACCUGGUGGCGAGCGGCGGACGGGUGAGUAAUGCCUAGGAAUCUGCCUGGUAGUGGGGGAUAACGCUCGGAAACGGACGCUAAUACCGCAUACGUCCUACGGGAGAAAGCAGGGGACCUUCGGGCCUUGCGCUAUCAGAUGAGCCUAGGUCGGAUUAGCUAGUUGGUGAGGUAAUGGCUCACCAAGGCGACGAUCCGUAACUGGUCUGAGAGGAUGAUCAGUCACACUGGAACUGAGACACGGUCCAGACUCCUACGGGAGGCAGCAGUGGGGAAUAUUGGACAAUGGGCGAAAGCCUGAUCCAGCCAUGCCGCGUGUGUGAAGAAGGUCUUCGGAAUGUAAAGCACUUUAAGUUGUGAGGAAGGGCAUUUACCUCAGACGUGAGUGUUUUGACGUUACCGACAGAAUAAGCCCCGGCUAACUCUGUGCCG
rnacentral:rRNA from 1 species